rnacentral:rRNA from 1 species
GAAUUCGCCCUUAGAGUUUGAUCCUGGCUCAGGACGAACGCUGGCGGCGUGCUUAACACAUGCAAGUCGAACGAGCGAGAGAGAGCUUGCUUUCUCAAGCGAGUGGCGAACGGGUGAGUAACGCGUGAGGAACCUGCCUCAAAGAGGGGGACAACAGUUGGAAACGACUGCUAAUACCGCAUAAGCCCACGACCCGGCAUCGGGUAGAGGGAAAAGGAGCAAUCCGCUUUGAGAUGGCCUCGCGUCCGAUUAGCUAGUUGGUGAGGUAAUGGCCCACCAAGGCGACGAUCGGUAGCCGGACUGAGAGGUUGAACGGCCACAUUGGGACUGAGACACGGCCCAGACUCCUACGGGAGGCAGCAGUGGGGAAUAUUGCACAAUGGGGGAAACCCUGAUGCAGCGACGCCGCGUGGAGGAAGAAGGUCUUCGGAUUGUAAACUCCUGUUGUUGAGGAAGAUAAUGACGGUACUCAACAAGGAAGUGACGGCUAACUACGUGCCAGCAGCCGCGGUAAAACGUAGGUCACAAGCGUUGUCCGGAAUUACUGGGUGUAAAGGGUGCGCAGGCGGGAAGACAAGUUGGAAGUGAAAUCCAUGGGCUCAACCCAUGAACUGCUUUCAAAACUGUUUUUCUUGAGUAGUGCAGAGGUAGGCGGAAUUCCCGGUGUAGCGGUGGAAUGCGUAGAUAUCGGGAGGAACACCAGUGGCGAAGGCGGCCUACUGGGCACCAACUGACGCUGAGGCUCGAAAGUGUGGGUAGCAAACAGGAUUAGAUACCCUGGUAGUCCACACUGUAAACGAUGAUUACUAGGUGUUGGAGGAUUGACCCCUUCAGUGCCGCAGUUAACGCAAUAAGUAAUCCACCUGGGGAGUACGACCGCAAGGUUGAAACUCAAAGGAAUUGACGGGGGCCCGCACAAGCAGUGGAGUAUGUGGUUUAAUUCGAAGCAACGCGAAGAACCUUACCAGGUCUUGACAUCGUAUGCAUAGCUCAGAGAUGAGUGAAAUCUCUUCGGAGACAUAUAGACAGGUGGUGCAUGGUUGUCGUCAGCUCGUGUCGUGAGAUGUUGGGUUAAGUCCCGCAACGAGCGCAACCCUUACUGUUAGUUGCUACGCAAGAGCACUCUAGCAGGACUGCCGUUGACAAAACGGAGGAAGGUGGGGAUGACGUCAAAUCAUCAUGCCCCUUAUGACCUGGGCCUCACACGUACUACAAUGGCUGUUAACAGAGGGAUGCAAAGCCGCGAGGUGGAGCGAACCCCUAAAAGCAGUCUUAGUUCGGAUUGUAGGCUGCAACCCGCCUACAUGAAGUCGGAAUUGCUAGUAAUCGCAGAUCAGCAUGCUGCGGUGAAUACGUUCCCGGGCCUUGUACACACCGCCCGUCA